CCCAAUUUCAUUGGUUUUCUCGCUAAUCCAUCAAACCGAAGGCCUUUAGUGUUCCAGUCACAACGGCUACCUAUCCGCGCCACUCCGCAAGGGGACAAGGAAGCCCCGCCCCUCUGCCUCUUUCCAGUGGCUACUGGUGGUGCCCAUCUUCUGCGUCUCCACCCGAUUGGUUAAUGGGGAGUAGAAAGCGUCCCCUCGCCGGAUCGUAGGACUGGCGGUCUCUGAUUGGGUGAAAAAGGGGAGCCCUCAGGCCGGUAGGCGCUCUUUGGCGCAGUCUAGGAAAGAACGCAUGCGCGAACACGCUUUCAGGCGCCUCCCGGGGCGGAGCGACCCUCUAAGGGAGCUAGGGCCUGCAGUACCCUGAGUAUUUGUUGCGUGACUGCUGUGUGCAGCGGCGGAAGGCUGGACCAAGACACAGGGGCGGUGCCAGCUCAGCUCUGUUCCCAUCACUAUAGCCUCUUCCUCGCCACCUCUAGCCUUCACAGGGCCGGAGGAAUUUUUUUUAACGCUAAUUUGACCCUUUCUCUCAUUAUAAAACCAUUUGCUGCCGCCGCCUGUGUUGCGACCGUGGCCAGUCCGGCGGCGUCGUUUCACCACUCCAUCCUUAAACUCGGCCACAGUGACUGUUUGCAGUUUGCACGUGGGGAAGCCUCUUUCGCGCACCUCUCGACCUUUGCCCGUGCAGCCCUUCCACCUAGAGCAUUUGCUCCACUACCCCUCCUGCCAGAGCAAGGAAUAGCUCCUCUUGUCGUGCAGUCCCGGUUCACUCCGAAAAGCCUUCCUUGUCCCUGCCAGCCCAGACCCCCGGCUUCCCCCAUGGUAACCCCUGAUCGCUCAGUCUAGGGACUGUCCAAGUCCUGCACGGGCAAGGGAGCGGCGGUCCCUGCCUCGGCCCGCCCACCAAGCACCGGGGACAGCACCCGGCACGGCGCUAGCGCUCAGCCAAGGGGAGUCAGGGUGUUCUAACCGUCUGGCAGGGCUUCCUUCCCCAGGGGCGGGGUAGGGCCACCCUGCAGAGAAUGCCCUCGCUCAGAGUCUCUAGGGUCCAACGACGCCCAAACCUGGGGAUCUGGGGCCGGGGCCGGGGGUUGACCCAGGAUCCCGCCCUAAGGGCUCUGAGUCGUGGGGCUGCCCGCUGGGGAGACACUGCGCUUAGAAAGCGAGGACAGAGUCGUGGGAAACGCUGGGCACGCCCCCAAAGAUGCUCCGGAGCCUUCCCCACCCCGGGUGCCCGGGUCUUCUCGAAAUAGUGGUCCUUGUGGAAACUAAGUUUGAAAUGGGGUCAGUGGCACUAAGAGAGUGGGACAGGCCCGGUGGGUCUGCGGACAGAAGAAACUUGGGGGUGGGCUGAUGGAGAUCGAAACGAGCUCCCCGUCUCACUGGGAAGAGCCGAAGAGGCGGGCAGAACCGAGAUGGGGGCGGCGCAGCGCCCGCCACACGUGAUCCGUGCGACGGGAGCCAGGCGGCGCCGGUCCCCCCGAGGGGCGGGGUCGCGAUGUCCCGACGUCAGAGGAAUGCGGUGGGGGGAGGGGAGAGGGGCCCCUCCCCUCCCCGCCCCCGCGCCCGGCCCGGACGCCCCUCGCGCCGGCGCGCGCGGACGGCCCUCGGCGGAACCGGCCCGGGCGUGGCGCUUUCCGGGCCACUCGCCCGCUGCGCGCGCCCACGGCGGGCGACCAGGCGGCCGCGUUAUCUGCAAUCCCGCGCUCCCGGCCGCCGCCCCGCCCCCACCCCGGCGCGCGGCCCUGGGCGGCGGGCGGCUGGGGGCGCCUCCCGCCGAUCCCCCCGCCCGCUCCCCGCCCCUCUCCCCCAGCCCCUACCAGCUCGGCGGCGAGCCUGGCCGGCCGUCCGGGAUCGAAAAGAGAGCAGACACUGGGAAGUUUUGGGGGAGGGAGGGGCGGGCCUUAAAG
ensembl:lncRNA